rnacentral:rRNA from 1 species
CCUACGGGUGGCUGCAGUGGGGAAUAUUGGGCAAUGGGCGCAAGCCUGACCCAGCAACGCCGCGUGAAGGAAGAAGGCUUUCGGGUUGUAAACUUCUUUUAAUAGGGAAGCGCAGAAGACGGUACUUCUUGAAUCAGCCAUGGCUAACUACGUGCCAGCAGCCGCGGUAAUACGUAGGUGGCAAGCGUUGUCCGGAUUUACUGGGUGUAAAGGGCGUGUAGCCGGGCUGACAAGUCAGAUGUGAAAUCCGGGGGCUCAACCCCCGAACUGCAUUUGAAACUGUUGGGCUUGAGUAUCGGAGAGGCAGGCGGAAUUCCUAGUGUAGCGGUGAAAUGCGUAGAUAUUAGGAGGAACACCAGUGGCGAAGGCGGCCUGCUGGACGACAACUGACGGUGAGGCGCGAAAGCGUGGGGAGCAAACAGGAUUAGAUACCCUUGUAGUC